rnacentral:rRNA from 1 species
ACGCUGGCGGCAGGCUUAACACAUGCAAGUCGAGCGGGGUGAUGGUGCUUGCACUAUCACCUAGCGGCGGACGGGUGAGUAAUGCUUAGGAAUCUGCCUAUUAGUGGGGGACAACAUUUCGAAAGGAAUGCUAAUACCGCAUACGUCCUACGGGAGAAAGCAGGGGAUCUUCGGACCUUGCGCUAAUAGAUGAGCCUAAGUCGGAUUAGCUAGUUGGUGGGGUAAAGGCCUACCAAGGCGACGAUCUGUAGCGGGUCUGAGAGGAUGAUCCGCCACACUGGGACUGAGACACGGCCCAGACUCCUACGGGAGGCAGCAGUGGGGAAUAUUGGACAAUGGGCGCAAGCCUGAUCCAGCCAUGCCGCGUGUGUGAAGAAGGCCUUAUGGUUGUAAAGCACUUUAAGCGAGGAGGAGGCUACUUUAGAUAAUACCUAGAGAUAGUGGACGUUACUCGCAGAAUAAGCACCGGCUAACUCUGUGCCAGCAGCCGCGGUAAUACAGAGGGUGCAAGCGUUAAUCGGAUUUACUGGGCGUAAAGCGCGCGUAGGCGGCUAAUUAAGUCAAAUGUGAAAUCCCCGAGCUUAACUUGGGAAUUGCAUUCGAUACUGGUUAGCUAGAGUGUGGGAGAGGAUGGUAGAAUUCCAGGUGUAGCGGUGAAAUGCGUAGAGAUCUGGAGGAAUACCGAUGG